rnacentral:tRNA from 1 species
UCUCCAAUGGGCCAGCGGUUAGGACUCCCUGCUUCCACUGCAGGGGGCACAGGUUCAAUCCCUGCUUGGUGAA